AGCGGCGAGGAUCUGACAUCAAAGACGACGGCGGCGACAAACCCAGACGCAACGUCAGCUGGCAGGACAAAGAUCCAGUGGUCGUUCCUGUGGAGUCGGAGGAAGACAAAGCGGAACACUCAGACGCAGAGAAGGAUGAAGACGUUGGCAUCACGUUUGUCGCUCGUCAGGUCGAGACGUCAAAACCACGACCGACCUCAGUCCCAGCAGCUCUGGACGGGGCUCAGAGUCCCACCGCCACCCCCCCCUCACCCAUCAGCGGAAACAGCCAAUUACCGUGGAAGGGCAGUGUUGGCUCCACCCCCCCCUGUGUGUCUGUGGAGGCCACUAAGAUCAUCCCUGUCGACCUCCAGCAGGCCUGGAACCAGAGCAUCUCCUCCCUGGAGAGCAUCUCCUCGCCACCAGCCCCCAUCGAGCCCAUCCACCCCCGCGUGAGUGCCCUCUCCAGACUGGGAGGGCCCCGCCCGGCCUCCUACAC